rnacentral:rRNA from 1 species
UACGUAGGGUGCGAGCGUUAAUCGGAAUUACUGGGCGUAAAGCGUGCGCAGGCGGCGCGUUAAGACAGGUGUGAAAGCCCCGAGCUUAACUUGGGAAUUGCGCUUGUGACUGGCGUGCUGGAGUGUGGCAGAGGGAGGUGGAAUUCCACGUGUAGCAGUGAAAUGCGCAGAUAUCAGGAGGAACACCGAUGGCGAAGGCAGCUCGCUGGGACGGUACUGACGCUGAGACGCGAAAGCGUGGGGAGCGAACAGG